CUCGAGUAGAUGGGAGACUUAUAAGAAUUUGGUAAAUCUACUCAACCAAUAUUGUUAUAAGUUAGAGAAAUUAAACUUUUUAUGUUUUACUGCCUUGUUUGGUGAGUAUAGAUCACUCACUCAUCUGCUUUACAAUUGAAAAUUAUUGUCAUUGAAGGGUUACACUUAUGGGUCCUUUAGUGCUACUCUUGAACAGUUGAACCAAUGUAUCUUUUGCCCUUCCUGACAUAGAUUCCUUUCCAGUCCCACAACUGUCAUUUCACCCUUUUGACUAACCCCCCAUCAGAAGGGGUGAAUCUGUCCUUUUACUAACCUAAUCUUUCAUCUCAGGAUGUUUCAAGAGCUGAGCUUAUUAAGAAAAAUAAUCCUAUGUUCUGCUGAUCAAUGA
rnacentral:misc_RNA from 1 species